GAUCAUCUGCUGAAAUGAGAUAAAUUAAGAAGUGCAUCACUGUAAUUGGUAGCUACUAUAGCUAGGAAUAAAGAGGUUGUUUCCAGUCGGCAGCAAGUGAAGUGGGUGCUCUUGAGUUUGUGCAUGUUUUUUUUUUUUUUUGUUUGGGACUUUUUGUACCAAGUAUAUUGUCUUUUUUGUUAAUAAACUUGUUGGCUGACUGGGCUCUGUGAAAAUAAAGUAUUGAUCAGUGAGUAAGUGGAAAGUGAGAGCUAUCGUUCUUGGUUGAUCAAAUUGUUGUUGGUUGAAGCUGAUUUAUAUAUUUUUUUAAGGCAUUUGGUUG
rnacentral:misc_RNA from 1 species